ensembl:lncRNA
CCUCCCCCACGUGGGCCUCUAGCUUUCCAUUACCAAAUUCAUUUCAUUCCCGUGCGUGAAUAAAACCACACUUUUCUCUUGUACUUUAUGGUUGCAAGAAAGCCCCCUCGGUGUCUUCUCGCGGGUUUCAAAAUGCCAGAAACUGGUGUGUGUCUGACUGCGAUGCCCACUGUGAGGGCGCGCACUGAAAAUUCCUGUGACACCGAUUGUGUGUAUCUUGAGCACCUUGGAAAGACCUUAAAACGCGCGGCUGACACUGAAAUUUCAUCCUUAACAGCUGAGGCAGGAGCGUUCGAGUUGGAAAGCCAGACUGUUGAAAUGAAGGAAGGAAGUCUACAGUUUCUUAUCGCCUUCUUAUCAUCAUGAGGAGCCCCAGAAUUGGAGCCAACUGGGAGGGAAGCAGAGCCAAUAGAUCACAAGCAAAAGACCAAGUCCUGAUGACAAACAUUUGUGCUCCUUGAUCAAGGUAGGCUCAAGCCCCUGGGUGUUUCAGUUACGAGAGCCUAAACUCUUUUCGUACUUAAGCAAAUUGGAUUGGGUUUCUGUUACUACAAGCAAAAGAGCCCCAACUACUAUACCCCAGGAAUAGAUCAAAGGCAUGUAUCUUUCAGGUGAAAAGUUAGUCAUCAAGACAAUGAGGAUUUGGAGUUCCCUGGUGGUUCAGUGGGUUAAAUACCCAGUGUUGUCACUGCUGUGGCUCAGGUCACUACUGUGGUGUGAGUUCAAUCCCUGACCCAGGAAUCUUCAUUUGCUGUGGACAUGGCCAAAACAAACAAAACAGACAAUGAGGCUUUGCUCCUCCUUAGAGGAUGAGCAGUCUCAUCCUCUGCCCCAGGUGCUGAAGUGCCUUGAGAAGGAAAUGGUGAGAAAUGGUGAGUCCUUCAGAGGCCUUUCUUAAAACUUCUCUUGGAAUUCCCAACGUGGCUCAGCAGUAACAAAUCUGACUAGUAACCAUGAGGAUGUGGGCUCGAUCCAUGGCCUUGUUCAAUGGGUUAAGAAUCCGGCAUUACCGUGAGUUGUGGUGUAGGUUGCAGAUGCACAGAGUUCACUUCAUGGCUCAGCUGUUAACAAAUCCGACCAGGAUCCAUGAAGUUGUGGGUUCGAUGCCUGACCUUGCUCAGUGGGUUAAGGAUCCGGAGUUACUGUGAGUUGUGUUGUAGGUUGCAGAUGCAGCUCGGAUCCUGAGUUUCUGUGGCUGUGGUUUAGGUCGGCAGCUGUAGCUCCAAAUCAACUCCUAGACUGGGAACUUCCAUGUGCCAGGCGGCCCUAAAAAGAAAAAAAGAAAAAAAGCACAAUCUUAGAGGAAAAAUACUUUGUAAAUUAAUCAAGGAAUAGGGGUUGACAGUCUUAAAUGUAAUUCAGGUGUUCCUUCUCUCUCCUUUGCUAUAUGGAGCAGCUGAAGUGGCAUACUUCUCAGCUUGGGUUCCCUUCCUCCUCAGAGCUCUGCUCAAAUAAAAAUUCUCCCUAUAAAAGGAAUCUUGGUAUGAAUAACUAAGCAGUCAUUUUUCCUGCUCCCACGUUAUUAAAUAUAAAUGGAAGAAACCAUGUACUAAGAAAAGUGCUUUUAUUUACAGUUAUUCAGCUAAGCAAACAAAAUAUGCUGGUUACCAUGUGGCAUAUCUAUCUUAGGUACAUUCUUUGACUGCCAAAAGCAUACAUAAAAAUUAGAAAACAGAGUAAAAAGAAGUAGUUUAGAAAGAGACAGAUGAGGCUUUAUGGGUGGACAUGAUGUUCUACUCCUUUAAUGGACUUUUUUUCUGGUCUUUUGUUUAUAUAUUUUAUUAUUAUUAUUUUUUCCGGCAGUGGAAGUUCUCAGGCCAGGGAUUGAACCCCAGCCACAAUGGCAGCCUGAGAAACUGCAGUGACAAUUCCAGAUUCUUAACCCACUCUGUUACAAGGGAACUCCUAUUUGUUUGUUUAUUUCUAUUGUGGUAAAAUGUAUAUAACAUAAAACAUACCAUUUUAACUUUGUUUUUUCUUUUUAGGGCCACAUCCGCGGCAUAUGGAGGUUCCCAGGUUAGGGGUUGAAUCGGAGCUGUAGCUGCCGGCCUACACUACAGCCACAGCAACACAGGAUCCA